AACGAACGCUGGCGGCAGGCUUAACACAUGCAAGUCGAACGGGCCCUUCGGGGUCAGUGGCAGACGGGUGAGUAACACGUGGGAACGUGCCCUUCAGUUCGGAAUAACCCAGGGAAACUUGGGCUAAGACCGGAUACGCCCCUUGGGGGAAAGAUUUAUCGCUGAAGGAUCGGCCCGCGUCUGAUUAGCUAGUUGGUGAGGUAAAGGCUCACCAAGGCGACGAUCAGUAGCUGGUCUGAGAGGAUGAUCAGCCACACUGGGACUGAGACACGGCCCAGACUCCUACGGGAGGCAGCAGUGGGGAAUACUGGACAAUGGGCGCAAGCCUGAUCCAGCCAUGCCGCGUGAGUGAUGAAGGCCUUAGGGUUGUAAAGCUCUUUCGUCCGGGAAGAUAAUGACGGUACUUGAGGAGGAAGCCCCGGCUAACUACGUGCCAGCCGCCGCCGUAACAC
rnacentral:rRNA from 1 species